rnacentral:rRNA from 1 species
CAGUCGCCGCGGGAAUACGAAGGGGGCUAGCGUUGCUCGGAAUGACUGGGCGUAAAGGGCGCGUAGGCGGAUUGUUUAGUUAGGCGUGAAAUUCCUGGGCUUAACCUGGGGACUGCGCUUAAUACAGGCAGUCUAGAGUGAGGAAGAGGGUUGUGGAAUUCCCAGUGUAGAGGUGAAAUUCGUAGAUAUUGGGAAGAACACCGGUGGCGAAGGCGGCAACCUGGUCCUUGACUGACGCUGAGGCGCGAAAGCGUGGGGAGCAAACAGGAUUAGAUACCCGAGUAGUCCCUGUCUCUUAUAC